AGCUUUGUGAAUUAGUAUGGAAAUUUAUUCAGACACCAGGGCAUCAGGACUGAUGAGACUCCUAAGAUUAAUGAAGCG
rnacentral:pre_miRNA from 1 species